ACUUGUACUGUGAAACUGCGAAUGGCUCAUUAAAUCAGUUAUGGUUUCUUUGAUGGUACCUUGCUACUUGGAUACCCGUAGUAAUUCUAGAGCUAAUACAUGCAGGAGUGCCCGACUUCGGAAGGGCUGUAUUUAUUAGAUAAGAAACCUUCUCGGGUUCGCCCGGUUGUGUGCUGAGUCAUAAUAACUGCUCGAAUCGCACGGCUCUACGCCGGCGAUGGUUCAUUCAAAUUUCUGCCCUAUCAGCUUUCGAUGGUAGGAUAGAGGCCUACCAUGGCGUUAACGGGUAACGGAGAAUUAGGGUUCGAUUCCGGAGAGGGAGCCUGAGAAAUGGCUACCACAUCCAAGGAAGGCAGCAGGCGCGUAAAUUGCCCGAAUCCUGACACAGGGAGGUAGUGACAAGAAAUAACAAUACAGGGCUAUUAGUCUUGUAAUUGGAAUGAGUACAAAUUACAUCUCUUCACGAGGAUCAACUGGAGGGCAAGUCUGGUGCCAGCAGCCGCGGUAAUUCCAGCUCCAGAAGCGUAUAUUAAGGUUGUUGCAGUUAAAACGCUCGUAGUCGGGUUUCGGGUCGGGCCGAGCGGUCUGCCGAUGGGUAUGCACCGUUU
rnacentral:rRNA from 1 species